GCCGCAGUGGCGCNAACGGAUAGCGCGUCUCGUUUCUACCCAGAAGGUUGUGGGUUCGAAUCCCACNUUGCGGUA
rnacentral:tRNA from 1 species